ACGGGAGGCAGCAGUGGGGGAUAUUGCACAAUGGGGGAAACCCUGAUGCAGCGACGCCGCGUGAGUGAAGAAGUAUUUCGGUAUGUAAAGCUCUAUCAGCAGGGAAGAAAAUGACGGUACCUGACUAAGAAGCCCCGGCUAACUACGUGCCAGCAGCCGCGGUAAUACGUAGGGGGCAAGCGUUAUCCGGAUUUACUGGGUGUAAAGGGAGUGUAGACGGCUUUGCAAGUCUGAAGUGAAAGCCCGGGGCUCAACCCCGGAACUGCUUUGGAAACUGUAGAGCUAGAGUGCAGGAGAGGUAAGUGGAAUUCCUAGUGUAGCGGUGAAAUGCGUAGAUAUUAGGAGGAACACCAGUGGCGAAGGCGGCUUACUGGACUGUAACUGACGUUGAGGCUCGAAGGCGUGGGGAGCAAACAGGAUUAGAUACCCUGGUA
rnacentral:rRNA from 1 species